rnacentral:rRNA from 1 species
GACGAACGCUGGCGGCGUGCUUAACACAUGCAAGUCGAACGAAAAGAGGGAAAGAGCUUGCUCUUUCCGGAAUUGAGUGGCAAGCGGGUGAGUAACACGUAAACAACCUGCCUUCAGGAUGGGGACAACAGACGGAAACGACUGCUAAUACCGAAUAAGUUCCAAGGGCCGCAUGGCCCAUGGAAGAAAAGGUGGCCUCUACCUGUAAGCUAUCGCCUGAAGAGGGGUUUGCGUCUGAUUAGCUGGUUGGAGGGGUAACGGCCCACCAAGGCGACGAUCAGUAGCCGGUCUGAGAGGAUGAACGGCCACACUGGAAUUGAGACACGGUCCAGACUCCUACGGGAGGCAGCAGUGGGGAAUCUUCCGCAAUGGGCGAAAGCCUGACGGAGCAACGCCGCGUGAGUGAUGACGGCCUUCGGGUUGUAAAACUCUGUGAUCCGGGACGAAAAGGCAGAGUGCGAAGAACAAACUGCAUUGACGGUACCGGAAAAGCAAGCCACGGCUAACUACGUG